rnacentral:rRNA from 1 species
GCUAGCGGCAAGCCUAACACAUGCAAGUCGAACGGUAACUUUUGGUGCUUGCACCGAAAGACGAGUGGCGAACGGGUGCGUAACGCGUAUGCAAUCUGCCUUUUACUAGGGUAUAGCCCAGAGAAAUUUGGAUUAAUCCCCUAUAAUAUCAUUUAAUCGCAUGAUUUUAUGAUUAAAGCUUCGGCGGUAAAAGAUGAGCAUGCGUCCUAUUAGUUAGUAGGUGAGGUAACGGCUCACCUAGACUCCGAUAGGUAGGGGUCCUGAGAGGGAGACCCCCCACACUGGUACUGAGACACGGACCAGACUCCUACGGGAGGCAGCAGUGAGGAAUAUUGGACAAUGGACGAAAGUCUGAUCCAGCUAUGCCGCGUGCAGGAUGACGGCCCUAUGGGUUGUAAACUGCUUUUAUACAGGAAGAAAAACUCCGACGUGUCGGAACUUGACGGUACUGUAAGAAUAAGGAUCGGCUAACUCCGUGCCAGCAGCCGCGGUAAUACGGAGGAUCCAAGCGUUAUCCGGAAUCAUUGGGUUUAAAGGGUCCGUAGGCGGUUUUUUAAGUCAGAGGUGAAAUCCUGCAGCUCAACUGUAGAAUUGCCUUUGAUACUGAAAGACUUGAGUUAUUGUGAAGUGGUUAGAAUGUGUGGUG